rnacentral:lncRNA from 10 species
GUUCCAGUUGCCUGCCUUCCCUUUGAUAUUCACUUGACUCAGAGAAGAGGCCAGAUCUACUUUUUCACUCAUCUGGGGGGAUUAAAAAACCACUACUCUAUUCCAGAAGAUUCCUGACGCUUUUCCUUGGAUUAUUUGCAUUUCUGUCAACGGCCCUGUAAUAUCUUGGGGUAGCACUGCAGUUCUCCUGAGGAGUGAAUGUCCAUCAGCAGCAGAAAGUGCACUUGCUCCCUGAAAGGGCACCGGGAUCCUUGGAACAGGCUCCAUGUUAGCGCUGGCAAAAGGAUGAAUGCAGCAUUCCGUGAGGAAUAUUUUUCUGGAGAGUGGACUAAAUGAUGAAUGGUGGUCUGGGCAAGCUUCGGACUAAUUGGAGCAAGGAGAAUGGAACUUAGUGUCUGGGAUGUCUUUCUCUGAGCUCUUACCAUUAGUGCACAUCAGCAAUAAUUUGUAGGACUCUUCUUUCUGAAAGGGAGAACUGACAAAAUUGAUACAGAGCCAUAGUCCUAUGGUUCCUGCAGUUUUAGCCAAGUUUCUGACAUAAGGACUUUCAUUCAGGGAACCAGACAGUGUCAAAUGGAAUACAAGAUGGGGGAUGGAUGUCUAGAAUAAAACAGAAGCCCAUUGAUUGGUCAGAGCGUGAAUAGAUGCUAAAUAAGACAAAGCUGUAUCUGAAACAUACAGAAAAAAUUACCUAUUCUUAAAAUAAAAGUUGGCUGUCAAUGCUUGGGUAGGAGACUAUAAGCCCAAUUAUGAUGAAUAUUUCAUAUUAGAAUGUAUAUCCUUGGAGGGAGUGAAGCAUUCUAGAAAAAUAUAUAGCCAAGUCUAAUUAAGACAAAGGCAGUAGAAAUGAAGGAGGAUGGUGGAGUUAAGAAAUAUUUAGAUUGAAAAACAAAGAAAAGUUUGAAAGUGAUUGGGCACCUUGCUUUAGAGAAUGGUAACGAAUCUCUUUCUUGAAUGGUCAAAUUGAUGUUAAAUUAUAACCUACAUUUCACCAUCAGUGCCAUGAGUAUUAAAAUGUCAAGUAAAGAAGAUGUCAUUGUGUGAAGAUGCUUGUCUUUGUAGACACAUUUUGGGUGGGAUAGUUUGAGAAUCAAAUAAACAUUUUAAGAGUCACAAUUAAUUUUGUAAUUUUAGCACAUAGUUUAUUAGAGUGGAGGACUAGGUUUUUUUUUUAACUUGUAUCCAUGACUUUCAGUAAAGUGGUAAAGAAUUAUUGCUUGUAGAAAGGAAACAUGAAUGUUUCAGCAUCAUUAGUGGUUAAGAAAGUAGUAACAGCUACCUCAUCAAAAUAUACAGAUGGCAGAUAAAAUCAUGAAAAUAUACUACCAUUAUACGUAACUAGGAAACUACAAAUCAAAACAACUAUGAGAUACCACUACACACCUAUUAAAAUGGCAAAGUCCGGAACACUGACAACACCAAAUGCUGGUGAGGAUGUGGAGCAACAGGAACUCAUCCAUUGCAGGUGGGAAUGCAAAAUGUUGCAGUCACUGUGGAAGACAGUUUGGCAGUUUCUUACAAAACUAAACAUACUCUUAGUAUAUGAUCCAGCAAUUGCACUCCUUGGUAUUUACCCAAAUAAGUUAAAAACUUAAGUUCCCACAAAACCUUGAACAUGAAUGCUUAUAGCAGUUUUUUUUUUCGUAAUUGCUAGAACUUGGAAACACCCAGCUGUUCUUCAGUAGGCGAAUAAACCUUGCUACAUCCAGACAAUAGAAUAGUAUUUAGCACUAAAUAUAAAUUAGCUAUCAAACCAUGAAAAUACAUGGAGAAGACUUAAAUGCAUAUGACUAAGUGACAGAAAAAGCUCAACUGGAAAGGCUACAUAAUUUAUGAUUCUGACUAUAUGACAUUCUGGGGAAGGCAAAACUUGAAGACAGUAAAACGUAAGUGGUUCAAAGGGUUGGGGGAAGAAAAGCAUGAAUAGGAGAGCCACAGAGGAGUUUUAGGGCAGUGAAAAAUACUCUGUAUGGUACUGCAAUGAUGGUAAAAAGUCAUUAUACAUUUGUUAAAACCCAUAGAAUGUAUAACACCAACAGUGCACCCUCAUGUAAGCCAUAGUCCUUGGGCGGCAAUGGCAGGUCAAUGUAAAGUCACUGAUUGCAACAAAUGUACUACUCUGGUUCAGGAUUUUGAUAGUGGAAGAGGUUAUAUAUGUAUUCAGGGUCAAGGGGCAUAGAAAAACUCUCUUU